rnacentral:rRNA from 1 species
UGGGGUAUAUUGGACAAUGGGCGAAAGCCUGAUCCAGCCAUGCCGCGUGUGUGAAGAAGGUCUUCGGAUUGUAAAGCACUUUAAGUUGGGAGGAAGGGCAGUAAGCGAAUACCUUGCUGUUUUGACGUUACCGACAGAAUAAGCACCGGCUAACUCUGUGCCAGCAGCCGCGGUAAUACAGAGGGUGCAAGCGUUAAUCGGAAUUACUGGGCGUAAAGCGCGCGUAGGUGGUUCGUUAAGUUGAAUGUGAAAGCCCCGGGCUCAACCUGGGAACUGCAUCCAAAACUGGCGAGCUAGAGUAGGGCCGGGGGUGGUGGAAUUUCCUGUGUAGCGGUGAAAGGCGUAGAUAUAGGAAGGAACAACAGUGGCGAAGGCGACCACCUGGGCUAAUACUGACACUGAGGUGCGAAAGCGUGGGGAGCAAACAGG